UUAUGUUGUGGGGAUAAACAUUAUGUCUCACUAGGGAAUGUCUGCCCCGCGUGACAUUGUAAGAGCUCAUAAAUCCACCCUUCAGGCAGUGUUAAUUAAACAUGCCAAAGGAGAUCUCAUUUUAAAAAUGGCCAAAAUGGGGCAACUUCAGUUUAUUCAAACUGAUAUGUGCACUCUGAAAAAGCCGGCUACAACACGGGAAGGCUGUUUGAAACAUAGGAGGCUUCUAAAUGACAUCGGAAAUACUUUACUGCCUCCUUAAGAGAAAACAAUUAAAUAAUUCAACAUGUUAGCAGCCAAAGCCACAUCUGCUGCUUCUCUCACUGAGACUCCCCACUUCAACUCCCCUGAAAUUCCUGAUCUAAAAUUAAACAAGUGAAAAUAAGUAAACCUGUGAGACAAUUUGGAAUCGUAAUGGCCGUUCUGGGGAGCCUCUGUUUCAGAUAGCCAAGACUGAGGAUCCAGAACGAGAAGCACGACUUUAGAAGCUGCUUCUGGAACAUGCCGGGUUCGAAGAUGACUGCCUCUAUGAUUCAUUGCUUCAGGGGAGGCCAGCCAAGGCAUAGCUUGAAAGUGUUUCUUACUUUGGAAUUUGCAAUGAAGAACCUAGAGAGUUCGCAAACAUAAACAGAGCAGCAUUGCAGACUGUGAGGAGGUGAUUCACUCCAGACUGAGGCUAUAUCCCGGGCAAAGGGAGUGGGGUGCCGUCUGCAGCUCCUCAGAGCACCUGGGUCCCUAAGGCACAGAAACACCUCGUGACUCCAGACAGUGUUGCCUGCGUGGCAGGUGUCCACAUGGGCACAGGCAUCCUUGGAGAAGUUCCCCAUGCCCCAAACAUGACAAAGAAGCAACAGACUGGCACAGGAUCUGAGCAAGCCACGCAGAGUGGACCCCUGAACUGCUUAACAUUAACUCAGGUGAACUGAGAACUGCAUACCAGAGUCCACUGCAGUUCAGCUUGUACAAGCCCCUGGUACUGUGUGCACGCAACUCUGGAGAAGGAUGGGAAAUCCCCCGAAGUAACUGAGAUCAGGUUUUUCAUACUAAAUUGUUACUUUUUAGAAAACAAAAAGCUGCUUUAUUUUUUGUACAGCUGAGUUCGUGGAAUGAGAUUUAUACUUUUUAAUUUACUCCUAUAUCCUGUUUUUCCAAUUACUUUUAUGAUACUUGAAAAUAAAGAUAGUCUUUAAACUCCUGAAUCACUAGAAUGUGUCAAAGGGCCUCGAAUUUGACUGGCACUCAGAGUUAACAAAUUCUGCAUAUUUAACAUUAUCAAAUCAUAAAACCUUUGAAUUGGAAGUAUUAAAAAAUCUUUUAUUUCAAUCUCUUUAUUUCACAGAUGAGGAAACUAAAUUUA
rnacentral:lncRNA from 1 species